rnacentral:lncRNA from 1 species
CUUCAUUUUUAAAAUUGCAUCAAUUAAAAUCUUGUGCUGCUAUUAUUGUGAUAAUUUUAGCCUUAAACCUCACUUGAUCAAAACCAUUAAUUGAAUUGACACCAGUGACCGAAUUGACUUCCAUUGUUCCCCACUUAAAUUGAUUGGAGAAUUUGACUAGUGUUGACCCUUGCUUUGCCAUUUUACAUGUACUAGCAGUAUUAGCU